AAUAAAAAAUAUUUCGUUAUACUGAACAAAAUACAACCUCCAUAGAAAAAAUAAUUGUCUCCUUACUACCCAAGAAUAGUAUAAUUUGGAUAGAAAAAAAAAUAUGUGUAGUGGAUUUAAAUUUCCACUGUACCUUUUAAUAGCGAUAAAAAUGUCGUGUAAUAAUCUAUACAUUAUUUAAAUAAAGCAAUCCUAGAACACAAAAUACAUAAUCUUGAAACGUGUCUCCAAAAUGUUUCUAGUGUGUUAUUCGAAUUUGAUAUUACGGUAGAUUUUUGGUUUACUCGACUAGGCAACAUAUUCGACCAAUUUUAGGUGUGGCAACACCUUACGUAAACUGUCAAAUAUCACUUUUCACAUCACUAUUCAUUUUGUGGUCGCGAUAGUCAUCUGCAGUAAAUUUCUGGUUUUAGUGCGCAUGUUUCGGGCAUUUGUUUUGUGAUUUGUAUAAGAUGCCUACUCCGGCCGAAAAGCAAAAACAGUACAGGGAACGGCUAAAAUAUAUAAAUCCUCUAUGUUGUUAAUAGUAUGUGGAGCCCAGUUCAGUCGAACGUAAACCAUUAAUUUUAUUGUGAUGAUGACGUCAAACAAAGAUUAUUUUAGCUUUUCGAAUUAUUUUUUGUUAUUACUAAUGCAAAUGAAAAGUUUGCUUCCUAUUGUUAAUUAGUGGAUUUGAAUUUCGUACAAAUAAAAUAAAUAUAUAAAAUUGUAA